AAGGUUAAUCGUGGGGGAGAUCUCGUUAGCGAAUCGUCAUAAAACAGGUGAGCCUUAGAUCGAUGGACUUGGAGCUGGGCGAGAUUCAGAGUGGCCACGAAGAUUAAGUUUCUGUUUUCUUUAAAAUAAGUUUCGCAUUUAUUAUUUUGAUCAUUUUUAUUCUGGUUUAAGUUGUAAUAAGGUUGCUCUUUUUAUUAUUUUUAAUAUUUUGGGUUAUUAAAUUGGUUAGCUCUAAAGCGCGUUUUAUAAAA